rnacentral:rRNA from 1 species
UACAGAGGGUGCGAGCGUUAAUCGGAAUUACUGGGCGUAAAGCGCGCGUAGGCGGCUUUGCAAGUCGGAUGUGAAAUCUUAUGGCUUAACCAUAAAAGUGCAUCCGAAACUGCAGUGCUUGAGUACUUAAGAGGAUCGCGGAAUUCCCGGUGUAGAGGUGAAAUUCGUAGAUAUCGGGAGGAACACCAGUGGCGAAGGCGGCGAUCUGGGAAGAUACUGACGCUGAGGUGCGAAAGCGUGGGGAGCAAACAGG